rnacentral:rRNA from 1 species
GAUGAACGCUAGCGGCAGGCUUAAUACAUGCAAGUCGAGGGGCAGCGCGGGUAGCAAUACCUGGCGGCGACCGGCGCACGGGUGCGUAACGCGUAUGUAAUCUACCAUUAACCGGGGAAUAGCCCAGAGAAAUCUGGAUUAAUGCCCCAUAGCAUUAUUGGAAGGCAUCUUUUGAUAAUUAAAGAAUUUCGGUUUUGAUGAACAUGCGUGUCAUUAGUUUGUUGGUGAGGUAACGGCUCACCAAGACUACGAUGACUAGGGGGUCUGAGAGGAUGAUCCCCCACACUGGUACUGAGACACGGACCAGACUCCUACGGGAGGCAGCAGUAAGGAAUAUUGGGCAAUGGAGGCAACUCUGACCCAGCCAUGCCGCGUGAAGGAUUGACGGCCCUCUGGGUUGUAAACUUCUUUUGUACGGGAAUAACCCUCCGAACGUGUUCGGAGCUGAAGGUACCGUAAGAAUAAGGAUCGGCUAACUCCGUG